rnacentral:rRNA from 1 species
UACAGAGGUCUCAAGCGUUGUUCGGAUUCAUUGGGCGUAAGGGGUGCGUAGGCGGCGCGGUAAGUCGGGUGUGAAAUCUUGGAGCUUAACUCCGAAACUGCAUUCGAUACUGCCGUGCUUGAGGACUGGAAAGGAGACUGGAAUUUACGGUGUAGCGGUGAAAUGCGUAGAUAUCGUAAGGAAGACCAGUGGCGAAGGCGGGUCUCUGGACAGUUCCUGACGCUGAGGCACGAAGGUCAGGGGAGCAAACGGG